CCCACUAAUUUGCUCGCCAGAAAAUUACAAGCGAAAGCACAAAAUUCAAAGGACUUGACGGUGUUCCACAUCAGCCUAGAGGAGCCUGUCCCAUAAUCGAUAACCCACGUUUUACCUCACCUACUCUUGCUACUUCAGCCUGUAUACCGCCGUCGCCAGCCCAUCUAAUGAUAGAACUAAAAUGGACAAAAUUGUUUUAACCACAAAAACGUCAGGUCAAGGUGCAGCUAAUGAAUAGGCUGAGAUGGGCUACAUUUUUUAAUUUAAAAAAUCACUACGAGCAACAUGAAACAAAGAGCUAUCAAAGGUGGAUUUAGCAGUAAAUAUGUGCAAGUUAUGCCACAUUGAAACUUGUCCUGGAACGCGUACAC
rnacentral:rRNA from 1 species